GACGAACGCUGGCGGCGUGCUUAACACAUGCAAGUCGAGCGAGGCCCAUCCUUCGGGGUGGUGCCCUAGCGGCGAACGGGUGAGUAACACGUGGGCAACCUGCCCUCAGCUCUGGGAUAACUCCAAGAAAUUGGUGCUAAUACCGGAUGUGACCGCUGACCGCAUGGUCUGGUGGUGGAAAGAUUCAUCGGCUGAGGAUGGGCCCGCGGCCUAUCAGCUUGUUGGUGGGGUAAUGGCCCACCAAGGCGACGGCGGGUAGCCGGCCUGAGAGGGUGACCGGCCACACUGGGACUGAGACACGGCCCAGACUCCUACGGGAGGCAGCAGUGGGGAAUAUUGCGCAAUGGGCGAAAGCCUGACGCAGCGACGCCGCGUGAGGGAUGACGGCCUUCGGGUUGUAAACCUCUUUCAGUAGGGACGAAGCGAAAGUGACGGUACCCACAGAAGAAGCACCGGCCAACUACGUG
rnacentral:rRNA from 1 species